GCCCGGGUGGUGGAACUGGUAGACACAAGGGACUUAAAAUCCCUUGGAACUUGUUUCCGUGCGGGUUCGAUUCCCGCCCCGGGCACCA
rnacentral:tRNA from 1 species